ensembl:lncRNA
CUAACAUCUUCUGAGUGACAUAACCUGGAUUUCUGAUGGGCCGGUGUCUUUCUAACAAAAACUAAUGACUUGACUGAGGCCACUGCACAGAUUGAGAAAACCACAAUGAACAUCUGUCUCCAGAGGAUGCACCAGGCAAUGACUUUUCUGAUGUUGGCAUCAUCAUCGAGGGUAUAGUAGUUCUUCAAGAUCUGGAUAACGUGACCUUUGCAGUAGCCAUGCUGUUUGGACCUUUUUUAUUCCUUCAAUAUGAGUUACCCAUCACAACUCUGCUACACUUUUGAGGUGAUUCAAAGGGUGGUAAUGGAGUUGGAUGCAACUCAGCUCUCAAGAAAAACUCACAACUAAGACAAAACUGCUCCUGCAAUGAAGCUCACUGUUAUGCAUGCAAGCUGAUCAGCUCUAGGUGAGAGGACAUUUAAAUCUCACACUUGUUCUGCUGCAUUUUUGAAGCUCAAUUCCAUGAACAGAUCGCAGGGUUCAUUUUUAUAUACUCUGCAACUGCCAUGAGGACGAGCCGUUUUUGUUGUUGUUGUUUGUUUUUCCUUUUGCUCUGUACAGCAUUUUGGCAGCAUUUUUAAAUUUCUCUUUGUAUUUUUUCUUUCUUUUACUAGUGAAGAGAUGUAGCAUGAACAGUUAUGCAGUCUAAAUAUCCCAUAUGGGUCGUGUGAAAUGUUAUUUUCAGUUUCAUUCAGUUGAAGUAAAGAACGUUGAAUAUUUCUAAGUGUGCUGUUUUGAACCAAGAUGUCACAGUAUGAUCAGUGCUGUAAUUUUUGACAGUCACUGUAUCAAUGUUAUUUUUGCAUCUCUUGAAUAAAGGUUUUGACCUGCAA